rnacentral:rRNA from 2 species
CUACCAUGCAGUCGAACGGCAGCACAGCAGAGCUUGCUCUGUGGGUGGCGAGUGGCGGACGGGUGAGUAAUGCAUCGGGAUCUACCUCAACGUGGGGGAUAACGUAGGGAAACUUACGCUAAUACCGCAUACGUCCUACGGGAGAAAGCAGGGGACCUUCGGGCCUUGCGCGGUGAGACGAACCGAUGUUCGAUUAGCUAGUUGGUGAGGUAAUGGCUCACCAAGGCGACGAUCGAUAGCUGGUCUGAGAGGAUGAUCAGCCACACUGGAACUGAGACACGGUCCAGACUCCUACGGGAGGCAGCAGUGGGGAAUAUUGGACAAUGGGCGCAAGCCUGAUCCAGCAAUGCCGCGUGUGUGAAGAAGGCCUUCGGGUUGUAAAGCACUUUUAUCAGGAACGAAAUACCACGGGUUAAUACCCUAUGGGGCUGACGGUACCUGAGGAAUAAG